GUGGGGAAUAUUGGACAAUGGGCGCAAGCCUGAUCCAGCCAUGCCGCGUGAGUGAUGAAGGCCUUAGGGUUGUAAAGCUCUUUCAGUGGGGACGAUAAUGACGGUACCCACUGAAGAAGCCCCGGCUAACUUCGUGCCAGCAGCCGCGGUAAUACGAAGGGGGCUAGCGUUGUUCGGAUUUACUGGGCGUAAAGCGCACGUAGGCGGAUCGUUAAGUCGUGGGUGAAAUCCUGGAGCUCAACUCCAGAACUUCCUUCGAUACUGGCGAUCUUGAGUCCGGAAGAGGUGAGUGGAACUCCUAGUGUAGAGGUGGAAUUCGUAGAUAUUAGGAAGAACACCAGUGGCGAAGGCGGCUCACUGGUCCGGUACUGACGCUGAGGUGCGAAAGCGUGGGGAGCAAACAGGAUUAGAAACCCGAGUAGUCC
rnacentral:rRNA from 1 species